AAAAAAUAUCUAAUAUAUCAUGCAAUAAAAGAAGGUAAGAAAAUAAAAAGGAGAUUCUUUAAUUUAUUUAUGGAAUCAUGUAAGUCUAUAUAUGGGGAUGAAUCAAAUUACACCGGUAUAACAUUUGUGACUCUUUAAUUUGUAAAAUGCGUGAAAUAUUUGUGAAAUAUCGAAAAUCAAGAGAGAAAAAGGUAGCUAAUUUUAUUUCAUUACCAAUAUUAUUGGUUACUUUGAAUACAUAGUCAAAGUUGCAAGGGCGUAAAAUUAUUGAAAUAAAAAUAUAAUUAUUAGUUUCUUAAUGUGGUUUGGCCUAGUUUUUUUGAGUUUAUGCAAAUAGCUUAUGCAAUAUAAAUUAAGUUUUAUGUUAUUUUAUAAGUUUAGACUAGUGAAAAUUAUAAUUUUAUAAGCUAUUUUAUCAUAAACUAUCUUGACAAACUUAUAAUAAUAUAUAAAAA
rnacentral:lncRNA from 1 species